rnacentral:rRNA from 1 species
GAUGAACGCUGGCGGCGUGCCUAAUACAUGCAAGUCGAGCGAACAGACGAGGCGCUUGCUCCUUUGACGUUAGCGGCGGACGGGUGAGUAACACGAGGGUAACCUACCUAUAAGACUGGGAUAACUUCGGGAAACCGGCUCUAAUACCGGAUAAUAUUUCGAACCGCAUGGUUCGAUAGUGAAAGAUGGCUCUGCUAUCACUUCUAGCUGGUCCUGGGCUGUAUUAGGUAGUUGGUAAGGUAACGGGCUACCAAGGCGACGAUACGUAACCGACGUGAGAGGGGGGUAGGCCACACUGGAACUGAGACACGGUCAAGACGCCUACGGGAGGCAGCAGUAGGGAAUCGUACGCAAUGGGGGGAAGCCUGACGGAGCAAGGCGGCGUGAGUGAUGAAGGUCUUCGGAUCGGGAAAAUCUGUUAUGAGGGAAGAACAAACGUGGAAGGAAAUGAGCACGGCGUGACGGUAACUAAUCAGAAAGCAACGGCUAACUACGUG